CGCUGGCGGCGUGCCUAUACAUGCAAGUCGAGCGAAUGGAUUAAGAAGCUUGCUCUUAUGAAGUUAGCGGCGGACGGGUGAGUAACACGUGGGUAACCUACCCAUAAGACUGGGAUAACUCCGGGAAACCGGGGCUAAUACCGGAUAAUAUUUUGAACUGCAUAGUUCGAAAUUGAAAGGCGGCUUCGGCUGUCACUUAUGGAUGGACCCGCGUCGCAUUAGCUAGUUGGUGAGGUAACGGCUCACCAAGGCGACGAUGCGUAGCCGACCUGAGAGGGUGAUCGGCCACACUGGGACUGAGACACGGCCCAGACUCCUACGGGAGGCAGCAGUAGGGAAUCUUCCGCA
rnacentral:rRNA from 1 species